rnacentral:rRNA from 1 species
UUUGAACGCGAAGGACCUUACCUGGGUUUGACAUGCACCAGACAUCCCUAGAGAUAGGGCUUCCCUUGUGGUUGGUGUGCAGGUGGUGCAUGGCUGUCGUCAGCUCGUGUCGUGAGAUGUUGGGUUAAGUCCCGCAACGAGCGCAACCCUUGUUCCAUGUUGCCAGCACGUAAUGGUGGGGACUCAUGGGAGACUGCCGGGGUCAACUCGGAGGAAGGUGGGGAUGACGUCAAGUCAUCAUGCCCCUUAUGUCCAGGGCUUCACACAUGCUACAAUGGCUCAUACAGAGGGCUGCGAGACCGUGAGGUGGAGCGAAUCCCUUAAAGUGAGUCUCAGUUCGGAUCGGGGUCUGCAACUCGACCCCGUGAAGUUGGAGUCGCUAGUAAUCGCAGAUCAGCAACGCUGCGGUGAAUACGUUCCCGGGUCUUGUACACACGCA